rnacentral:rRNA from 1 species
UACAGAGGUGGCAAGCGUUGUUCGGAAUUACUGGGCGUAAAGGGCGCGUAGGCGGUUCGUUAAGUCCUGUGUGAAAUCCCCGGGCUCACCUCGGGGGGGUCGUCCGUGACUGGCAGGCUGGGGUCUGGGAGAGGCGAGUGGAAUUCCCGGUGGAGCGGUGAAAUGCGUAGAGAUCGGGAGGAACACCAGUGGCGUAGGCGACUCGCUGGGCCAGUACCGACGCUGAGGUGCGAAAGCGUGGGGAGCGAACCGG